rnacentral:piRNA from 1 species
UGCCGUUUUCAAUUUUAGAUC